rnacentral:rRNA from 1 species
GAUGAACGCUAGCGGCAGGCUUAAUACAUGCAAGUCGUGAAACAGCGCAGAUAGCAAUACUGGACGGCGACCGGCAAACGGGUGCGGAACACGUACACAACCUUCCGAGAAGUGGGGAAUAGCCCAGAGAAAUUUGGAUUAAUACCCCGUAACAUAACGAUGUGGCAUCACAUUGUUAUUAUAGCUUCGGCGCUUCUUGAUGGGUGUGCGGCUGAUUAGAUAGUUGGCGGGGUAACGGCCCACCAAGUCUACGAUCAGUAGCUGAUGUGAGAGCAUGAUCAGCCACACGGGCACUGAGACACGGGCCCGACUCCUACGGGAGGCAGCAGUAAGGAAUAUUGGUCAAUGGACGCAAGUCUGAACCAGCCAUGCCGCGUGAAGGAUUAAGGUCCUCUGGAUUGUAAACUUCUUUUAUCUGGGACGAAAAAAGGCGAUUCUUCGUCACUUGACGGUACCAGAUGAAUAAGCACCGGCUAACUCCGUGCCAGCCGCCGCAGUAACAC